rnacentral:rRNA from 1 species
GGGCGGUUGGCGGGCAGCUACACAUGCAGUCGAGCGGAACGAGUUAUCUGAACCUUCGGGGAACGAUAACGGCGUCGAGCGGCGGACGGGUGAGUAAUGCCUAGGAAAUUGCCCUGAUGUGGGGGAUAACCAUUGGAAACGAUGGCUAAUACCGCAUAAUGCCUACGGGCCAAAGAGGGGGACCUUCGGGCCUCUCGCGUCAGGAUAUGCCUAGGUGGGAUUAGCUAGUUGGUGAGGUAAUGGCUCACCAAGGCGACGAUCCCUAGCUGGUCUGAGAGGAUGAUCAGCCACACUGGAACUGAGACACGGUCCAGACUCCUACGGGAGGCAGCAGUGGGGAAUAUUGCACAAUGGGCGCAAGCCUGAUGCAGCCAUGCCGCGUGUGUGAAGAAGGCCUUCGGGUUGUAAAGCACUUUCAGUCGUGAGGAAGGUAGUGUAGUUAAUAGCUGCAUUAUUUGACGUUAGCGACAGAAGAAGCACCGGCUAACUCCGUGCCAGCAGCCGCGGUAAUACGGAGGGUGCGAGCGUUAAUCGGAAUUACUGGGCGUAAAGCGCAUGCAGGUGGUUUGUUAAGUCAGAUGUGAAAGCCCGGGGCUCAACCUCGGAAUAGCAUUUGAAACUGGCAGACUAGAGUACUGUAGAGGGGGGUAGAAUUUCAGGUGUAGCGGUGAAAUGCGUAGAGAUCUGAAGGAAUACCGGUGGCGAAGGCGGCCCCCUGGACAGAUACUGACACUCAGAUGCGAAAGCGUGGGGAGCAAACAGGAUUAGAUACCCUGGUAGUCCACGCCGUAAACGAUGUCUACUUGGAGGUUGUGGCCUUGAGCCGUGGCUUUCGGAGCUAACGCGUUAAGUAGACCGCCUGGGGAGUACGGUCGCAAGAUUAAAACUCAAAUGAAUUGACGGGGGCCCGCACAAGCGGUGGAGCAUGUGGUUUAAUUCGAUGCAACGCGAAGAACCUUACCUACUCUUGACAUCCAGAGAACUUUCCAGAGAUGGAUUGG